ensembl:processed_transcript 5031434O11Rik RIKEN cDNA 5031434O11 gene
GAGACCCACCUAGACCCGGCCCUGGUGGCCAUGGGACGCAGCGACUCAGUCAGGAAAAGGGCAGGCGGUCGGAGAGGGGAAGUCGAGGUGGCUGAAACAACGCUGCCCCGCGGAGAUCGCGGGCCUCAAGGGACUGCCCUCCCAUCCUCCAUCCCCGCAAGGACUAAGGCCAAGCCGCGGCAGCCGCAGCCGCCGCCCCCUCUCCUCUCGUCCCCGGUCCCGGAGGCUCUGGGGUGCUGCCGCCACUGCAACUUUCUCCUGUGAUACCCCCUCUUUGUUAUGGAGCAGCUGAUCCGCUGACAUCACCCGGCGCCGGUGCGCUCCCUCCCUCGUUGAUUGACAGUUCCCUGUCCUUUCCCAGAAGUGAGGAUCCUUAGAACCCAAGGUGCUCCGGAGCUGCGCCGCCUCUUAAGACCAGGCAGUGGGCAGACCAGGCGGCGUUUACCUUUUGGCUUGGUUCACUGUUCGCCAGCCACGCGGUCCAGGUCGCCGCCGGCUGUUCGCUAGCGCCGGGGGCCUCGAGGGUACCCGCCUGGGGUGGGUGAGGGGCUCAGAGCACCUGAUACCCCACGAUGUGCCACCAGGGACUUGGAAGUGCGUCAUGCUGGGUGUUCCUACCACUAUCUCACUCCUGGACAGCUGGAGCGCACUCGGAACUAAGGAAGCCUUUGGUUCCUGAGCUUCUACUUCCUCUUGCCCUCGAGCCCCACUUCACUCGGCUCGCUACUGCCCAGAGUUGCAAAGUGCGGCGGGCCCAGGAGCGCAGGUGCCCCGUCCCCCUUCCACUGCCCAGCGCUGCCUCCACAAGCCAGUUCCCUCGACUCCAGGGGGCGUCCUGCGUCCUGGAUUCCUCCCGACUGAACGUCCUACCCAGGAGUCCCCAGUCUCCAUCUUCUUUCGCAUCUCCAGGCCCCUAGAGAGAUCCAGGAAUUCAGCAAACCCAAAUGGCAGCAGGCUGGUAAUCAGGCCGCACCCGAGCUUUGGCCGAUUCCUUCUCCUUGUCUUGAAGAUGGAGCCACCAAGCGGAGAGCCGGAGCCAGGACCCUGUGUCUAGCGCUCCUCCUUCUCUCGCCUCCGGUCCUGUAUUUGUGAUGUCCCUAGAUGUUUCUUUAGUUUCUCCAAGUGCCAACCACUUCACAGACUCAGGCAUCUUUGAGGGAAGAAAACUCCCUUCCCAGCCCAGCCACUUAAAGAGUGUCAUUAUGUCCUCUUACAGGUGGCAGCAAAGGAUCUCUUUAAAUAGCGGGUUAAAUGCAUGCGCAUGUACCCAAUGUACUGUGGAAUUACCCGGUGCUGGUCUGGCCUUCUGCCAAGAACAGUCAUCGUGGCGGGUGGGAAGGAUGGGGCAGGAACCAAAGAAAGUUGUUCCUUUUCGUUUUCUGAACAAUAAAUGAGGCAGGAUUUCAAGUCACUUCCAAAGCCUGAGAGAGUCCCCCCCCUCCUUAAUUUCUUAAAUGCCUUUUUUUUUUUCAUUUUCUUUUUCUUUUUUAUUUAAGGCAGGAUCUCCUGUAGCCCGGUCUCUCACCUCUAACUCACUGUAUACAGGAAGACGAUUUUGAGCUAAUCAUCCCGCCUCUAUCUUCACAGCCCCGUAAUUACAAACCUUGGCAGCAUGCUGAAUUUAUAGUACUGGAGAUACAAUCCAGACUUUUCCAUGCUAGAAAAGCAAGCUCUCCACCAAAUGAGCUGCACCCCCACUGGCUGAUAUAUGUCAGCCAGAAAAAAAAAAAAAGUAAAAGAAACAGGGCAUGGUGGUAUUAAUCGCUGCACUAGGGAGGCAGAGGCAGGUAGAUCUCCGAGUUCAAGGCCAGCCUGUUUGGUGUAUAGAGUGAGUUCCUGGUCAGCCAGGGCUACAUAGAGAAAUACUGUCUCAAAGGGAAAACCACUUAAGAGAAAAAUUAUGGAGACACUAACCCCAAAUACCAUCAGAAAUGUUAGCUCCAUUCUGACUGCGUUCGAAAGAGGAAGGUUGUGGAUGUGGAGUUAGAAGGCUUAGGGUCCAGUCUCCUUCACCUGCAAAGUGCACCAGGGUGGCCACUCUGGCAGUAUGGGUUCCUCUUCUGGGCAUUAGAUACUCAGGCCAUAUGGGGAGGGACUUCUGUGGUUUAGGCUGGUUUACUCUUUGACCCUUUAGCCUAGGCUACACCACUGUACACACUGGCUCAGGCUACGCUGUCCUGAAAUCUUCCAUACCCCUCUGAAGUCUGUCUUGGGAUUGAUCUCCUUAAGGGUCUUCCAGGACAGGUACCAGGGACCUUUGUUAGGCUCCACAGAAAUCUACACCUGCAGGGAAAUAUGAAAGGAUACCUUCAGAUUAUAAUUUAAUCUUUUUUAAAAAACGAUUUGAUUUGAUUUAUGUGUGUGUGUACACUCAUGCAUGUGUAUACGGCUGCAUGCUGUGUGUGUGUGUGUGUGUGUGUGUGUGUGUGUAUACCAAAGGAGGCCAGAGUGCAUUGGAACCCUGGAGUUGGAGCUACAGGCAGUGGUAAGCCCUUGAAUGUGGGUGCUGGGAACCAAAUGUGGGUCUUCUGAGACAUCUGCAGCCCACAUAACAUCACUUGAAAACAUGAAUACAGAAACAGGAUUGUACUGAGUGUGUGUGUGCACAUGUCUGUGAGUGUGUGCUAGACAGAGUCUCUCACUUGCCUAGAACUCAUGGAGUAGGGUAGGCCUCAGAUACCCACCUGUUUCUGUCUUCCCGGUGGUUAGGUUGCAAUCAUACACCUCCACACUUGUCUUUUGUUGCUGUGUUGUUUUGAAACCAUGGACUCGGGAGUUGACGAAUCUCCCCGGUCCUUAUUCAGAGUUUCUGAAAAGGCAUUUACCGUGCUUCAUCCCUUCUGGCUUUGAGCUGUAUGAGCUCUCCCCUUACCUUUAAUUCUUAUGUAUCCCUGCUUUCCUUACGCAUGAUGCUGGUGCUCACAUGACGAAGAAUAGCAGAUGCUCAUCUCCUUCAGUUACUAGACAAUAAAAACGAUGAAAACCGAAGGAAGAAGCAAAAAUAAAUUUAUUUCUUUACUGAAAGAAGGUAAUGUCAGGGCAGGAAACGCCCCCUCAGGACACAGACCCAGGCUCACGGUGGGAGGGUACACGUGUGUGCUGAGGGAGGGGAAGGGCCUGCCACAAGUGUCUUACCUCUCUCUGUCUUUGGGUUCAGAGGAGAAUGUCCUCUUGGAGGAGUGCGGUUAGCCCCGGUGUUAGGAGCAGCCUACCUGUGUCAAGAGCCUUUCCAUGUGCUGCUUUGAGAGUGUUUGGAACCGGCGCCCAUUCCCUGCCUCUACAGAAAUGGAUCUCGAAUGUGCCUAGAAGGAUCUGGGGCUGAGGCCGCCACUACUCCUAGCCCCUUGAUGAUUCAGGAAUGCCUCUACUGGCUGAGCACGCCCUCCGUCCCUCAGUGAUCCAGUCAGACAGGAAUUCAUCACUGAGCCACUACUCCGGACUCCCAGCUCCUAGCUCAUGUCCCUGCAGUGUAUCCAGUAAACUAAAUUUAGACCCUCGGGGACAACAGAGAAGGAGCCAUGUGGCCCAGAUCUCUGUCUUCGUGUGCGGUGGGCUAUAUGACAUGCUUGCCUUCUCCGAUCUGAAAACCUAGGCUAGAUUUGGGUCUAGUGAAACAACUUGGGGGUUGGGGAAAAGGCUACAAUCGGAAACUGCGCAUUUCUGUAACAAUAACUUCAGACAAAGUAAGAUGAAGAGGUUUGAAAAAUAAAUACAAUUGCCAUGAAAACCAAA